CUCGAUUUCUCUCUGAAACGUUCUUGAUUCUCUCAAGCUUUCUCCGUCUCUGAUCUCGAUUCCUCUCUCUCGCCUCUCACUGUUCCCGCCGUUUCUGACCGCGCAAGAUCUCUCCGUCUCUUGCACUCUCUCCAUCUCUGCUCUCUCAAGCUCUCUUUGAUUUCGUUGUCGUCUCUCACUCUCGGUUGUUCUUCAAGUGUGAGGUUGGUGAAGUGAAAAGAUGUAUAACGGUAUUGGUUUACAAACUCCGAGAGGGUCUGGCACUAAUGGG
rnacentral:misc_RNA from 1 species